rnacentral:rRNA from 1 species
AUUGAACGCUGGCGGCAUGCUUUACACAUGCAAGUCGAACGGCAGCGCGGGCUUCGGCCUGGCGGCGGGUGGCCAACGGGCGAGUAAUACAUCGGAACGUGGGCAUCUGCUGGGGAGAGGGGGACGACAGAGGGAUUAAUACGGCAUUAGACCAGAGGGUGAAAGGGGGGGAUCAUCGGACCUUGCGCCAUUGGACCGGCGGAUGGCCGAUUAGCUAGUUGGUGGGGUAAAGGCCUACCAAGGCGACGAUCUGUAGCUGGUCUGAGAGGACGACCAGCCACACUGGGACUGAGACACGGCCCAGACUCCUACGGGAGGCAGCAGUGGGGAAUUUUGGACAAUGGGCGAAAGCCUGAUCCAGCAAUGCCGCGUGUGUGAUGAAGGCCUUCGGGUUGUAAAGCACUUUUGGCGGGAACGAAAAGGACUGUGCCAAUACCACGGUUUGAUGACGGUACCCGAAGAAUAAGCACCGGCUAACUACGUG